rnacentral:tRNA from 3 species
GCCGAAGUGGUGGAACUGGUAGACACGCUAGGUUCAGGGUCUAGUGGGGGGUCCCCCGUGCAGGUUCAAGUCCUGUCUUCGGCACCA